GAUGAACGCUGGCGGCGUGCCUAACACAUGCAAGUCGAACGGACAGACGAUGAGCUUGCUCCCCUGACGUUAGCGGCAGACGGGUGAGUAACACGUGGAUAACCUCCUUAUAAUACUGGGAUAACCUCGGGAAUCGGGUUCUAAUACCGGAUAAUAUAUUGCACCGCAUUGUUCAAUCGAGAAUUUCGGCUUUCCUGUCUGUAUUAGCUGUAUCCGGGCUGCCUUAUCUGGUUGGUAAGGUAACGGCAUACCAAGGCAACGAUGCGUAUCCGACCUGAGAGGGUGAUCGGCCACACUGGAAGUGAGACACGGUCCAGACGCCUACGGGAGGCAGCAGUAGGGAAUAUUCGGCAAUGGGCGAGAGCCUGACACAGCAACACGGCGUGAGUGAUGAAGGUCUUCGGAUCGGAAAACCCUGUUUUUAGGGAAGAACAAAUGUGGAAUUAAAUGUGGACGUAGUGACGGUACCUAAUAAGAAAGCACCGGCUAACUACGUG
rnacentral:rRNA from 1 species